UUUUUUUUUUUUUUUUUUUUUUUUUAGUAAAAGGAAAAUUUGUUUUUUCAUCUAAGAAGAAAAUAGUUAUUCAGUCACUUUUUUCAAAGGCUUUUAAGUAUAAAUACCUCAAAAUGCAAAUUGUUAAAUAAUUAAAAUUUUAUGUAAAAUUAGGCAGCAUUUAAUUAUUGUUCUUCUUGUUAUAGCAUAUGAGAAAUUAGGAAACUCAUCUAGAAUUUUCCAGAGUUCAAUAAAUUGCUUACCAUAUUGAAAAAUUGGAGUAAAAGCAAGACUGGCUUUAUAGAGCUAUAGUUGGAUUGAACUUGACUAAACACUUGAUUAAGGUUUAAUUCACAGUGAUUUAUCCACAUAACCUGUCAUGGAGUCAAGAUAAAACCUCACAGGCCUUUCUGUUCAAACGACAUUAAGGCCUGUAGCAAAGCUGACAAAGCUGUCUUGUUGUUCGUCUCUAUGCCUUUAAUGAUUUGCCUUUGUUAAAGGAAAUAUUCUUUAAGUUGAACUUAGCAGCUCCCUAGGAUCUACAGAUGCCAAGGUCUUCUUCAGCCUUAAGGCUGAACAACUGAAUAUCUCCACCCCUGCACCCUUCCUAACCUGAGAAUACAGAACGCUUGACUUUUUGCAUCUGAAUUUAUCCUCAUGUUGUUCACACAAGUACAGUGCCAGAAAACGUUAUAAGGUAGGCACACAAU
rnacentral:lncRNA from 10 species